GAUGAACGCUGGCGGCGUGCCUAAUACAUGCAAGUCGAGCGAACGGACGAGAAGCUUGCUUCUCUGAUGUCAGCGGCGGACGGGUGAGUAACACGUGGAUAACCUACCUAUAAGACUGGGAUAACUUCGGGAAACCGGAGCUAAUACCGGAUAAUAUUUUGAACCGCAUGGUUCAAAAGUAAAAGACGGUCUUGCUGUCACUUAUAGAUGGAUCCGCGCUGCAUUAGCUAGUUGGUAAGGUAACGGCUUACCAAGGCAACGAUGCAUAGCCGACCUGAGAGGGUGAUCGGCCACACUGGAACUGAGACACGGUCCAGACUCCUACGGGAGGCAGCAGUAGGGAAUCUUCCGCAAUGGGCGAAAGCCUGACGGAGCAACGCCGCGUGAGUGAUGAAGGUCUUCGGAUCGUAAAACUCUGUUAUUAGGGAAGAACAUAUGUGUAAGUAACUGUGCACAUCUUGACGGUACCUAAUCAGAAAGCCACGGCUAACUACGUG
rnacentral:rRNA from 1 species